CGGGCACAUCACUCUGAAACGCCAAUUCACAUACGAUCACCUAAGUUAAGCAACGUCGAGCCUUGUCAGUACCUCGAUGCGUGAUUUGGGAAUAACAGGUGCUGUAAG